rnacentral:rRNA from 1 species
UUAAGCGACUAAGCGUACACGGUGGAUGCCCUGGCAGUCAGAGGCGAUGAAGGACGUGCUAAUCUGCGAUAAGCGUCGGUAAGGUGAUAUGAACCGUUAUAACCGGCGAUUUCCGAAUGGGGAAACCCAGUGUGUUUCGACACACUAUCAUUAACUGAAUCCAUAGGUUAAUGAGGCGAACCGGGGGAACUGAAACAUCUAAGUACCCCGAGGAAAAGAAAUCAACCGAGAUUCCCCCAGUAGCGGCGAGCGAACGGGGAGCAGCCCAGAGCCUGAAUCAGUGUGUGUGUUAGUGGAAGCGUCUGGAAAGGCGCGCGAUACAGGGUGACAGCCCCGUACACAAAAAUACACAUACUGUGAGCUCGAUGAGUAGGGCGGGACACGUGGUAUCCUGUCUGAAUAUGGGGGGACCAUCCUCCAAGGCUAAAUACUCCUGACUGACCGAUAGUGAACCAGUACCGUGAGGGAAAGGCGAAAAGAACCCCGGCGAGGGGAGUGAAAAAGAACCUGAAACCGUGUACGUACAAGCAGUGGGAGCACGCUUAGGCGUGUGACUGCGUACCUUUUGUAUAAUGGGUCAGCGACUUAUAUUCUGUAGCAAGGUUAACCGAAUAGGGGAGCCGAAGGGAAACCGAGUCUUAACUGGGCGUUAAGUUGCAGGGUAUAGACCCGAAACCCGGUGAUCUAGCCAUGGGCAGGUUGAAGGUUGGGUAACACUAACUGGAGGACCGAACCGACUAAUGUUGAAAAAUUAGCGGAUGACUUGUGGCUGGGGGUGAAAGGCCAAUCAAACCGGGAGAUAGCUGGUUCUCCCCGAAAGCUAUUUAGGUAGCGCCUCGUGAAUUCAUCUCCGGGGGUAGAGCACUGUUUCGGCAAGGGGGUCAUCCCGACUUACCAACCCGAUGCAAACUGCGAAUACCGGAGAAUGUUAUCACGGGAGACACACGGCGGGUGCUAACGUCCGUCGUGAAGAGGGAAACAACCCAGACCGCCAGCUAAGGUCCCAAAGUCAUGGUUAAGUGGGAAACGAUGUGGGAAGGCCCAGACAGCCAGGAUGUUGGCUUAGAAGCAGCCAUCAUUUAAAGAAAGCGUAAUAGCUCACUGGUCGAGUCGGCCUGCGCGGAAGAUGUAACGGGGCUAAACCAUGCACCGAAGCUGCGGCAGCGACGCUGAUGCGUUGUUGGGUAGGGGAGCGUUCUGUAAGCCUGCGAAGGUGUGCUGUGAGGCAUGCUGGAGGUAUCAGAAGUGCGAAUGCUGACAUAAGUAACGAUAAAGCGGGUGAAAAGCCCGCUCGCCGGAAGACCAAGGGUUCCUGUCCAACGUUAAUCGGGGCAGGGUGAGUCGACCCCUAAGGCGAGGCCGAAAGGCGUAGUCGAUGGGAAACAGGUUAAUAUUCCUGUACUUGGUGUUACUGCGAAGGGGGGACGGAGAAGGCUAUGUUGGCCGGGCGACGGUUGUCCCGGUUUAAGCGUGUAGGCUGGUUUUCCAGGCAAAUCCGGAAAAUCAAGGCUGAGGCGUGAUGACGAGGCACUACGGUGCUGAAGCAACAAAUGCCCUGCUUCCAGGAAAAGCCUCUAAGCAUCAGGUAACAUCAAAUCGUACCCCAAACCGACACAGGUGGUCAGGUAGAGAAUACCAAGGCGCUUGAGAGAACUCGGGUGAAGGAACUAGGCAAAAUGGUGCCGUAACUUCGGGAGAAGGCACGCUGAUAUGUAGGUGAAGUCCCUCGCGGAUGGAGCUGAAAUCAGUCGAAGAUACCAGCUGGCUGCAACUGUUUAUUAAAAACACAGCACUGUGCAAACACGAAAGUGGACGUAUACGGUGUGACGCCUGCCCGGUGCCGGAAGGUUAAUUGAUGGGGUUAGCGCAAGCGAAGCUCUUGAUCGAAGCCCCGGUAAACGGCGGCCGUAACUAUAACGGUCCUAAGGUAGCGAAAUUCCUUGUCGGGUAAGUUCCGACCUGCACGAAUGGCGUAAUGAUGGCCAGGCUGUCUCCACCCGAGACUCAGUGAAAUUGAACUCGCUGUGAAGAUGCAGUGUACCCGCGGCAAGACGGAAAGACCCCGUGAACCUUUACUAUAGCUUGACACUGAACAUUGAGCCUUGAUGUGUAGGAUAGGUGGGAGGCUUUGAAGUGUGGACGCCAGUCUGCAUGGAGCCGACCUUGAAAUACCACCCUUUAAUGUUUGAUGUUCUAACGUUGACCCGUAAUCCGGGUUGCGGACAGUGUCUGGUGGGUAGUUUGACUGGGGCGGUCUCCUCCUAAAGAGUAACGGAGGAGCACGAAGGUUGGCUAAUCCUGGUCGGACAUCAGGAGGUUAGUGCAAUGGCAUAAGCCAGCUUGACUGCGAGCGUGACGGCGCGAGCAGGUGCGAAAGCAGGUCAUAGUGAUCCGGUGGUUCUGAAUGGAAGGGCCAUCGCUCAACGGAUAAAAGGUACUCCGGGGAUAACAGGCUGAUACCGCCCAAGAGUUCAUAUCGACGGCGGUGUUUGGCACCUCGAUGUCGGCUCAUCACAUCCUGGGGCUGAAGUAGGUCCCAAGGGUAUGGCUGUUCGCCAUUUAAAGUGGUACGCGAGCUGGGUUUAGAACGUCGUGAGACAGUUCGGUCCCUAUCUGCCGUGGGCGCUGGAGAACUGAGGGGGGCUGCUCCUAGUACGAGAGGACCGGAGUGGACGCAUCACUGGUGUUCGGGUUGUCAUGCCAAUGGCACUGCCCGGUAGCUAAAUGCGGAAGAGAUAAGUGCUGAAAGCAUCUAAGCACGAAACUUGCCCCGAGAUGAGUUCUCCCUGACUCCUUGAGAGUCCUGAAGGAACGUUGAAGACGACGACGUUGAUAGGCCGGGUGUGUAAGCGCAGCGAUGCGUUGAGCUAACCGGUACUAAUGAACCGUGAGGCUUAACCU